GCCCGCCUAGCUCAAUCGGAUAGAGCGUCAGACUCUUACUAGUCUAUAGGCAGGUGAAUCUGAAGGCUGCGAGUUCGACCCUCGCGGUGGGCU